UACGAAGGGGGCUAGCGUUGCUCGGAAUCACUGGGCGUAAAGGGUGCGUAGGCGGGUCUUUAAGUCAGGGGUGAAAUCCUGGAGCUCAACUCCAGAACUGCCUUUGAUACUGAGGAUCUUGAGUUCGGGAGAGGUGAGUGGAAUUCCUGGUGUAGCGGUGAAAUGCGUAGAUAUCAGGAGGAACACCUGUGGCGAAAGCGGAUCUCUGGACAGUUCCUGACACUGAGGCACGAAGGCCAGGGGAGCAAACGGG
rnacentral:rRNA from 1 species